UGGGGAAUAUUGGACAAUGGGCGCAAGCCUGAUCCAGCAAUGCCGCGUGGGUGAAGAAGGUCUUCGGAUUGUAAAGCCCUUUCGACAGGGACGAUGAUGACGGUACCUGUAGAAGAAGCCCCGGCUAACUUCGUGCCAGCAGCCGCGGUAAUACGAAGGGGGCUAGCGUUGCUCGGAAUUACUGGGCGUAAAGGGCGCGUAGGCGGCGCUGUUAGUCAGGCGUGAAAUUCCUGGGCUCAACCUGGGGACUGCGCUUGAUACGGCAGUGCUAGAAGAUGGAAGAGGCUCGCGGAAUUCCCAGUGUAGAGGUGAAAUUCGUAGAUAUUGGGAAGAACACCGGUGGCGAAGGCGGCGAGCUGGUCCAUUACUGACGCUGAGGCGCGAC
rnacentral:rRNA from 1 species